rnacentral:tRNA from 1 species
CUGAAUGAGCGGGCCUCGAUCCCGCAAAAAUUAGUUAACAGCUAACUACCCUAACCAGCGGGCUUCCACUCG